CCUACGGGAGGCAGCAGUGGGGAAUAUUGGACAAUGGGGGGAACCCUGAUCCAGCCAUGCCGCGUGUGUGAAGAAGGCCCUCGGGUUGUAAAGCACUUUCAGUGAGGAAGAACGCCUGGUGGUUAAUACCCAUCAGGAAAGACAUCACUCACAGAAGAAGCACCGGCUAACUCCGUGCCAGCAGCCGCGGUAAUACGGAGGGUGCGAGCGUUAAUCGGAAUUACUGGGCGUAAAGCGCGCGUAGGUGGCUUGAUAAGCCGGUUGUGAAAGCCCCGGGCUCAACCUGGGAACGGCAUCCGGAACUGUCAAGCUAGAGUGCAGGUGAGGAAGGUAGAAUUCCCGGUGUAGCGGUGAAAUGCGUAGAGAUCGGGAGGAAUACCAGUGGCGAAGGCGGCCUUCUGGACUGACACUGACACUGAGGUGCGAAAGCGUGGGUAGCAAACAGGAUUAGAUACCCGAGUAGUC
rnacentral:rRNA from 1 species